rnacentral:rRNA from 1 species
GACGAACGCUGGCGGCGUGCUUAACACAUGCAAGUCGAGCGGAAAGGCCCUGCUUUUGUGGGGUGCUCGAGUGGCGAACGGGUGAGUAACACGUGAGUAACCUGCCCUUGACUUUGGGAUAACUUCAGGAAACUGGGGCUAAUACCGGAUAGGAGCUCCUGCUGCAUGGUGGGGGUUGGAAAGUUUCGGCGGUUGGGGCUGGACUCGCGGCUUAUCAGCUUGUUGGUGGGGUAGUGGCUUACCAAGGGUUUGACGGGUAGCCGGCCUGGGAGGGGGACCGGCGACAUGAGGACUGAGAUACGGCCCAGAAUGCUACGGGAGGCAACAGGGGGGAAUAUUACGGAAUGGGCGGAAGCCUGAUGUGGCAACGCCGGGAGCGGGAUGACGGCCUUCGGGUGGUAAACCGCUUUCGCCUGUGACGAAGCGUGAGUGACGGUAAUGGGUAAAGAAGCACCGGCUAACUACGUG